UACGUAGGGUCCGAGCGUUGUCCGGAAUUAUUGGGCGUAAAGAGCUCGUAGGCGGUUUGUCGCGUCUGCCGUGAAAACUUGGGGCUCAACCCCAAGCCUGCGGUCGAUACGGGCAGGCUCGAGUUCGGUAGGGGAGACUGGAAUUCCUGGUGUAGCGGUGAAAUGCGCAGAUAUCAGGAGGAACACCGAUGGCGAAGGCAGGUCUCUGGGCCGAUACUGACGCUGAGGAGCGAAAGCGUGGGGAGCGAACAGG
rnacentral:rRNA from 1 species